GAUGAACGCUGGCGGCGUGCCUAAUACAUGCAAGUCGAGCGAACAGACGAGGAGCUUGCUCCUCUGACGUUAGCGGCGGACGGGUGAGUAACACGUGGAUAACCUACCUAUCAGACUGGGAUAACUUCGGGAAACCGGAGCUAAUACCGGAUAAUAUAUUGAACCGCAUGGUUCAAUAGUGAAAGACGGUUUUGCUGUCACUUCUAGAUGGAUCCGCGCCGAAUGAGCUGGUUGGUAAGGUAACGGCUUACCAAGGCGACGAUGCGUAGCCGACCGGAGAGGGUGAUCGGCCACACUGGAACUGAGACACGGUCCAGACUCCUACGGGAGGCAGCAGUAGGGAAUCGUCCGCAAUGGGCGAAAGCCUGACGGAGCAACGCCGCGUGAGUGAUGAAGGUCUUCGGAUCGUAAAACUCUGUUAUUAGGGAAGAACAAAUGUGUAAGUAACUAUGCACGUCUUGACGGUACCUAAUCAGAAAGCCACGGCUAACUACGUG
rnacentral:rRNA from 1 species